GAUGAACGCUGGCGGCGUGCUUAACACAUGCAAGUCGAACGGUGAAGGCGGAGCUUGCUCUGCUGGAUCAGUGGCGAACGGGUGAGUAACACGUGAGCAAUCUGCCCCUGACUCUGGGAUAAGCGCUGGAAACGGCGUCUAAUACUGGAUACGAGCUGCGAAGGCAUCUUCAGCAGCUGGAAAGAAUUUCGGUCAGGGAUGAGCUCGCGGCCUAUCAGCUUGUUGGUGAGGUAAUGGCUCACCGAGGCGUCGACGGGUAGCCGGCCUGAGAGGGUGACCGGCCACACUGGGACUGAGACACGGCCCAGACUCCUACGGGAGGCAGCAGUGGGGAAUAUUGCACAAUGGGCGAAAGCCUGAUGCAGCAACGCCGCGUGAGGGACGACGGCCUUCGGGUUGUAAACCUCUUUUAGCAGGGAAGAAGCGAAAGUGACGGUACCUGCAGAAAAAGCGCCGGCUAACUACGUG
rnacentral:rRNA from 1 species